AGGAGGAACAACCCCAGUGGCGGGGCCAGCUCUGCAGCCCUAGAGUCAGCCCCCGCAGUAACUCCGGAGCUCUCCGUCUGCAGGGCCUGGAGGCUUCGGGGCGGG
rfam:Canis lupus familiaris chromosome 1, whole genome shotgun sequence.